GACGAACGCUGGCGGCGUGCCUAAUACAUGCAAGUUGAGCGCUGAAGGUUGGUACUUGUACCAACUGGAUGAGCAGCGAACGGGUGAGUAACGCGUGGGGAAUCUGCCUUUGAGCGGGGGACAACAUUUGGAAACGAAUGCUAAUACCGCAUAAAAACUUUAAACACAAGUUUUAAGUUUGAAAGAUGCAAUUGCAUCACUCAAAGAUGUUCCCGCGUUGUAUUAGCUAGUUGGUGAGGUAAAGGCUCACCAAGGCGAUGAUACAUAGCCGACCUGAGAGGGUGAUCGGCCACAUUGGGACUGAGACACGGCCCAAACUCCUACGGGAGGCAGCAGUAGGGAAUCUUCGGCAAUGGACGAAAGUCUGACCGAGCAACGCCGCGUGAGUGAAGAAGGUUGUCGGAUCGUAAAACUCUGUUGGUAGAGAAGAACGUUGGUGAGAGUGGAAAGCUCAUCAAGUGACGGUAACUACCCAGAAAGGGACGGCUAACUACGUG
rnacentral:rRNA from 1 species